rnacentral:rRNA from 1 species
UACGGGGGGAGCAAGCGUUGUUCGGAUUUACUGGGCGUAAGGACGGCGUAGGCGGCCACCGCAAGUCGAUUGUGAAAUCUCCGGGCUUAACCCGGAAAGGUCAACCGAUACUGCGGGGCUAGAGUGCAGAAGGGGCAACUGGAAUUCUCGGUGUAGCGGUGAAAUGCGUAGAUAUCGAGAGGAACACCUGCGGCGAAGGCGGGUUGCUGGGCUGACACUGACGCUGAUGUGCGAAAGCUAGGGGAGCGAACGGG